rnacentral:lncRNA from 1 species
GAAUAAUACAUGGCAAAAUCCGUAUCAUAUGUCGUAUCAUCCCGAGACACCAAUAUCAGCCCAAGGGCCUUUAGGCCCGAGGGAUGAUAUUGGUCGAGGGUGAUACGGCAUGCGAUACAGAUUUUGCCAUGUUUUAUACGCUUUAUCAUAUAUUUCAACAGGAGAGUAUUAUAUUAUAUGAACUGUUUUCUGAUCCAUAGCACUGGGUUACCUGCAGUUCUACUUUUGUCUUGCUUCAAAAGCCUAAAAAGAACUUCUCAAUUACUUAUCCGAAGCACCUGGGUUACCUUACAAUUUGCGUGCUGUUGUUUUAAAAAUAUUUUCUUUAUUAUUGUAUUUUUAUGUGUGUUUUGUAUUUUUUAAAGUUCCAUUUAGUGUGCCAAAAAAUAUGAAAACUUGACGUUCGUGACGUCACAUACCAAACAAUGACGUCAUUCAAUAAAUU